rnacentral:lncRNA from 1 species
AGACAUUUAUGUUGUAAUUAAACACGUAAGGUGUCAAUGUCACAAGAAACAAUUCGUAGGGUUUAUUACGUUUUACGUUUCCGACCACCAUAUACGUAACCACAAUUUCCCGUACCUUUAUAGUUUAAGACUACUAGAACAAAAGACCAUAUUUUGUUGCUGCAUCCUUAUAAUUUGUUUUCUGACAACCGAAUUAUAAAUGAUGGGUUCUAAUGCAUUAAUACAUCGGCUGUGAUUGAACGUAUAUAAAAGAAGAAAGAUUCUACCGGACAAAUCACAAGUGAAUCCAGACCCCUCUUGAAUU